rnacentral:rRNA from 1 species
UACGUAGGGGGCUAGCGUUGUCCGGAAUCAUUGGGCGUAAAGCGCGUGUAGGCGGCUCGAUAAGUCUGUUGUGAAAGCCCCAGGGCUCAACCCUGGGAACGCCGAUGGAUACUGUCGAGCUAGAGUCCGGAAGAGGCGAGUGGAAUUCCUGGUGUAGCGGUGAAAUGCGCAGAUAUCAGGAGGAACACCGGUGGCGAAGGCGGAUCUCUGGGCCGAUACUGACGCUGAGGAGCGAAAGCGUGGGGAGCGAACAGG